rnacentral:rRNA from 1 species
ACGUAGGUGGCAAGCGUUGUCCGGAUUUAUUGGGCGUAAAGCGAGCGCAGGCGGUCAAUUAAGUCUGAUGUGAAAGCCCCCGGCUCAACCGGGGAGGGUCAUUGGAAACUGGUUGACUUGAGUGCAGAAGAGGAGAGUGGAAUUCCAUGUGUAGCGGUGAAAUGCGUAGAUAUAUGGAGGAACACCAGUGGCGAAGGCGACUCUCUGGUCUGUAACUGACGCUGAGGCUCGAAAGCGUGGGUAGCAAACAG